GCUCCGGUAGCCUAGUAGCUAGAGCAUCCGCAUCAAAUGCGGGAGAUCGUGGGUUCGAUCCCCAGCCGAGUCA